rnacentral:rRNA from 1 species
AUACGGAAGUGGCAAGCGUUGUUCGGAAUCAUUGGGCGUAAAGGGCGCGUAGGCGGUCUCGUAUGUCUGCUGUGAAAGCGCACGGCUUAACCGUGCAGGGUCGGUGGAAACUGCGAGACUUGAGGCUGGGAGGGGCUGGUGGAAUUCCCUGUGUAGCGGUGAAAUGCGUAGAUAUGGGGGAGAACACUCGUGGCGAAGGCGGCCAGCUGGACCAGUCCUGACGCUGAGGCGCGAUAGCGUGGGGAGCAAACCGGAUUAGAUACCCCGGUAGUCC